rnacentral:rRNA from 1 species
AAAGGAAUAGACGGGGGCCCGCACAAGCGGAGGAACAUGUGGUUUAAUUCGAUGAUACGCGAGGAACCUUACCCGGGAUUGAAAUGUAGAUGCCGACCGUAGAGAUAUGGUUUUUCCUUCGGGACGUCUAUGUAGGUGCUGCAUGGUUGUCGUCAGCUCGUGCCGUGAGGUGUCGGCUUAAGUGCCAUAACGAGCGCAACCCACGUUGUUAGUUGCUAACAGGUUUAGCUGAGGACUCUAACAAUACAGCCGGCGUAAGCCGUGAGGAAGGUGUGGAUGACGUCAAAUCAGCACGGCCCUUACAUCCGGGGCGACACACGUGUUACAAUGGUAGGGACAACGGGCAGCUACUUGGCGACAAGAUGCUAAUCUCUUAAACCCUAUCCCAGUUCGGAUCGGAGUCUGCAACUCGACUCUGUGAAGCUGGAUUCGCUAGUAAUCGCGCAUCAGCCAUGGCGCGGUGAAUACGUUCCCGGGCCUUGUACACACCGCCCGU